UACAGAGGUCUCAAGCGUUGUUCGGAUUCAUUGGGCGUAAAGGGUGCGUAGGUGGCGCUGUAAGUCGGGGGUGAAAUUUCGGAGCUUAACUCCGAAACUGCAUUCGAUACUGCGGUGCUUGAGGACUGGAGAGGAGACUGGAAUUCAUGGUGUAGCAGUGAAAUGCGUAGAGAUCAGGAGGAAGACCAGUGGCGAAGGCGGGUCUCUGGACAGGUCCUGACACUGAGGCACGAAGGCCAGGGGAGCAAACGGG
rnacentral:rRNA from 1 species